UUUGAGAAUCAAAAAGAGCUUACUAAAAUGCAACUGGACAAUCAGAAAGAGAUUGCCGAGAUGCAAAAUGAGACUCAAAAAGAGAUUGCUGGCAUUCAGUCGGCGACUUCACGCCAGAAUACGAAAGACCAGGUAUAUGCACAAAAUGAGAUGCUUGCUUAUCAACAGAAGGAGUCUACUGCUCGCGUUGCGUCUAUUAUGGAAAACACCAAUCUUUCCAAGCAACAGCAGGUUUCCGAGAUUAUGCGCCAAAUGCUUACUCAAGCUCAAACGGCUGGUCAGUAUUUUACCAAUGACCAAAUCAAAGAAAUGACUCGCAAGGUUAGUGCUGAGGUUGACUUAGUUCAUCAGCAAACGCAGAAUCAGCGGUAUGGCUCUUCUCAU
rnacentral:rRNA from 1 species